rnacentral:rRNA from 1 species
CGCAAGUCGAGCGGUAAGGCUUUGCACUUAGUGUUUGAUCGAGAUAAUUUAUUAUCACAGUUAACCAAUCGGAACCUUGGCGGGGGAAGUGAGGAAGAGGAAGAUCGAAUUAUAAGUGUAGAGUACACGAGCGGCGGACGGGUGAGUAACACGUGGGAAUCUACCCCAAACUGAGGGAUAAGCACCGGAAACGGUGUCUAAUACCGCAUAUGGUCUUCGGAUUAAAGCUUCGGCGGUUUGGGAAGAGCCCGCGCAAGAUUAGCUAGUUGGUGAGGUAAAGGCUCACCAAGGCGACGAUCUUUAGCUGGUUUGAGAGGAUGAUCAGCCACACUGGAACUGAGACACGGUCCAGACUCCUACGGGAGGCAGCAGUUAGGAAUUUUCCACAAUGGGCGCAAGCCUGAUGGAGCAACGCCGCGUGCAGGAUGAAGGUUUUCGGAUUGUAAACUGCUUUUAUAAGUGAAGAAUAUGACGGUAACUUAUGAAUAAGGAUCGGCUAACUCCGUGCCAGCAGCCGUGGUCAUACGGAGGAUCCAAGCGUUAUCCGGAUUUACUGGGCGUAAAGAGUUGCGUAGGUGGUAGUUCAAGUGAAUAGUGAAAUCUGGUGGCUCAACCAUCAACACAUUAUUCAAACUGGAUUACUCGAGAAUGAGAGAGGUCACUGGAAUUCCCUGUGUAGGAGUGAAAUCCGUAGAUAUAGGGGAGGAACACCAAUGGCGUAGGCAGGUGACUGGCUCAUUUUCUGACACUGAGGCACGAAAGCGUGGGGAGCGAACGGGAUUAGAUACCCCCGGUAGUYCCACGCCCGUAAACGAUGGGAUGCUAGCUGGUUAGGGAGUAAUCG